rnacentral:tRNA from 1 species
CUAUCGUCUAGAGGCCUAGGACAUCGCCCUUUCACGGCGGUAACCGGGGUUCGAAUCCCCGUAGGGA